rnacentral:rRNA from 1 species
CACGUAGGGGACGAGCGUUGUCCGGAUUCAUUGGGCGUAAAGAGCUCGUAGGCGGCUUGUCACGUCGGAUGUGAAAACCCGGGGCUCAACCCCGGGCCUGCAUUCGAUACGGGCAGGCUAGAGUUCGGCAGGGGAGACUGGAAUUCCUGGUGUAGCGGUGAAAUGCGCAGAUAUCAGGAGGAACACCGGUGGCGAAGGCGGGUCUCUGGGCAGUAACUGACGCUGAGGAGCGAAAGCGUGGGGAGCGAACAGG